GCUCGCCUAGCUCAGUUGGUUAGAGCGUCGUACUAAUACUCGAGCAUCUGCUCAAUAUAAGUAAUGCGAAGGUCACAGGUUCAAUCCCUGUGGUGAGCA
rnacentral:tRNA from 1 species